AUGAAAGCAAGCAGAGGAAGUGGGCAUGUGAGGGAGGACUAUCAUUUACAAUACCAUAACUAAAAGUGUACAGCAUUUCUGUCCAUGUGGCCUCACACACGAAGUCAGUGAAAGGAAUGCUGUCCAUCUGACGAGAAAGCAGCGGACAGUACAGCAGACAAAGAUGUUUCACCUGGACAUGAAGGACCACUUGGUGUCACAGCUUUGGUUCAGCCAUCUGCAGCAGAGUCCCAGUCCACUGUGUCAAACAAGUUGGAAAUUACAGCUACAGCUGAUUCAGUAACCUCUGGAUCCACUCAGGACUUUUUCUCUCACUUAGACAUAAUUUACUCUUCAUUGAAGGCUUAUAUUUUAUCUUGCAGAGUUUCUAUGUGAUCUAUAAUUACCUUGUUUUAUUUUGCUCAUUAUAUUAUGCAUAUAAAUAACUAUAAAUCAUUUUCACCAUAUAUAAUUGCUGCUGUUGCACCUGAAUUUCCUUUAGUGAAGUCUUAUCUUAACUAGUAUACAUGAUCAUACAGCCUAUGGACUUGCCCAGUUUCUAUGAUCAAGUGUUGUGCUAUACCCAGUCUAUGGCUAUACCUUAUUUGCUUCUAGUGGUGGGUGCUGCUGAAAUUAGAAAGAUAUUAAGGCUAAUUUGGCUUUUAGUUAUGAUUAUGUAGUUUGUCAUUUGUUCUGCUGUCUUUGGAAGAAUUUUCUAAUUUGUAGAGGCAGCAAAAUAAAAGUGCACAUUUA